rnacentral:tRNA from 1 species
GGGCCGUUAGCUCAGUUUGGUAGAGCAACCGACUUUUAAUCGGUUGGUCGUAGGUUCGAAUCCUACACGGCCCACCA